rnacentral:rRNA from 1 species
AGUUGCCUACGGGGGGCAGCAGUGAGGAAUAUUGGUCAAUGGUCGGGAGACUGAACCAGCCAAGCCGCGUGAGGGAGGAAGGUACAGAGUAUCGUAAACCUCUUUUGUCAGGGAACAAAGACUGGGACGCGUCCCCGGAUGAGUGUACCUGAAGAAAAAGCAUCGGCUAACUCCGUGCCAGCAGCCGCGGUAAUACGGAGGAUGCGAGCGUUAUCCGGAUUUAUUGGGUUUAAAGGAUGCGCAGGCGGCCUGUUAAGUCAGCGGUAAAAGCCCGGGGCUCAACCCCGGCGAGCCGUUGAAGCUGG